ensembl:lncRNA
GUUAGUGUGUAAUUAGUGUGUCGUUAGUCUGUAGUUAGUGUGUAGUUAGCGUGUAGUUAGUGUGUCAUUAGUGUGUAGUUAGUGUGUCAUUAGUGUGUAAUUAGUGUGUAGUUAGUGUGUAGUUAGUGUGAAAUUAGUGUGUAGAUAGUGUGUAGUUAGUGUGUAGUUAGCGUGUAAUGUGUAGUUAGUGUGUAGUUAGUGUGUAGUUAGCGUGCAGUUAGCGUGUAAUUAGCGUGUAGUUAGCGUGACUUUAAUUUGAAUAUUUUGUGCAAUAAUAUGGAGUUAAUUGAUUUUAACAGCAUUCAUUUACAUAAAAUAGCCCAUAAUAUUAAAGUGGAAAGAAAAAUAUCGGUGUUUCGUAAAAAUGAUUUGCAUAAAAAAACUUAAAGGUUUUUCGUGAUUGCGUAAGUAUUCACCCCUAUUUCUGAAAUCCCUAAAAUUAGUUCUGGAAGAAACCGGUAGAUGCUGUGGAACGUCCCUGAAACAAGUUCUCCCUUACGUUAUAGCUAUGAACCGUCUUUAAAGUUACUAAGACAAAAAAAACAAAAAAAAAACAAUAAAAAACAACAAACAACAACACAGACUGUCAUGUUACUGAGUGUGUAAGUGCCGACACUGGAGACUCCUUCCGUAAAUGCUAAAUAAACACAAACCUUCACCACAUCAACAAUGUUUCAGUCUAUUGAUGUGGACCGUCCCUGAAUGAGCUGUUACUAUAGAAACGAUCAUGUAUCGGGACAAGCGCGUUGAUCAACAGUCAGAAUCAAGGAUUAAACAGCACUGUGGUAGGCUACAAAACACAACCUGAUCACAAUCAGACAAAUCAGAU